AUUGAACGCUGGCGGCAUGCCUUACACAUGCAAGUCGAACGGCAGCGCGGGGCAACCUGGCGGCGAGUGGCGAACGGGUGAGUAAUAUAUCGGAACGUACCCUGGAGUGGGGGAUAACGUAGCGAAAGUUACGCUAAUACCGCAUACGAUCUAAGGAUGAAAGUGGGGAUUCGCAAGAACCUCAUGCUCCUGGAGCGGCCGAUAUCUGAUUAGCUAGUUGGAGGGUAAAAGCCUACCAAGGCAUCGAUCAGUAGCUGGUCUGAGGGGACGACCAGCCACACUGGGACUGAGACACGGCCCAGACUCCUACGGGAGGCAGCAGUGGGGAAUAUUGCACAAUGGGCGAAAGCCUGAUGCAGCGACGCCGCGUGAGGGA
rnacentral:rRNA from 1 species